CAAUGCGCUCUCCCUGUCAGCAUGAUAACAACUGUCAAGUCUCCUGCCUUGGUUAUUUUUACUCUUCCAGACCGUCUCUUCCGCCAUUGUCUGUGCCCAGAGUGGCGUACAUGACAGCUGGGUUUGACUUGGACUGGAGCGUGCAUGGGCUACAGCGCUAUGCCUCUUCAGGAACGUCAAAAGUCAUGUUGGCGUGCAGGAGGUGACGCCUGGACAAAUGACUCAGCUCUCUCCCGCUGGCGCCGCCGCCUCUCCCUGGCUUUCUGCAGCGCCUUGUAGUCUGGAUGAAGCUCAAGAUCUCGCGCCUUCUUCAAGUGGGCAGCAGCAUGGGCCAUGACUGCAAUUACCUAACGCUGACUGUCGCUACGAAUCAACGAAUAUUUGUGGAAAAUGUCUCCCAACAAUGUCUGCUAACAAUUUUGACCUUGAAGGUCAAGCAAAAAGACAAAGUUUUCUAAUAUAAAUUAAUCCAAGUUGGAUCUGAGACAAUCCUGGAAGUUAAGAGUCUCCAAAAUGACCCUCACUGGAAUAUCCGAGGAAAAAUCCACUUCAACUCCUCUCAUCCUUUUUUACUAAUAUCUCCACAGUUCUCGUAGAAAAAUGAAGAUGCUCCCACUGGAUCAAGCUGCUGGAUUUUCACGCACACACAUCUACCGUACUUAUGCAGAGCCCAAAUGAAGCAUUUAUGUGUGCAAGCAUGAUGGAAGGACAUAAUGACAGAAAAGGGGUGGUGAAGAAUGACAGACAAUGACACACACACACACACACACACACCAUAUGACCCAGUCCAGAUGUACAGUACAUAAAAACCCUCCGCAAUGUGAACAGAUGUGGCUUUAAAACGUGUGUUCUUUAAUGCAUUUGUGUGUGUGUGUGUGUGUGUGUGUGCAUGUAUGUCAGUUACAAUGUUCAGUGUGUAAGGGGUUUAACGCAGCUGCAAGCCAACAGUCAAACUACAGCGACAGCCUAAGCUAAUCUCCCCACUGUUGUGAUAAAAACACAUUAAUAAAAUAAAAAAUCCUUGGCGUGAGAAGUUAAA